CCUACGGGAGGCAGCAGUGGGGAAUAUUGGACAAUGGGCGAAAGCCUGAUCCAGCCAUGCCGCGUGUGUGAAGAAGGCCUUCGGGUUGUAAAGCACUUUCAGUGGGGAAGAAAGCCUUGGGGCUAAUACCCUCGAGGAAGGACAUCACCCACAGAAGAAGCACCGGCUAACUCCGUGCCAGCAGCCGCGGUAAUACGGAGGGUGCGAGCGUUAAUCGGAAUUACUGGGCGUAAAGCGCGCGUAGGCGGUCUGAUAAGCCGGUUGUGAAAGCCCCGGGCUCAACCUGGGAACGGCAUCCGGAACUGUCAGGCUAGAGUGCAGGAGAGGAAGGUAGAAUUCCCGGUGUAGCGGUGAAAUGCGUAGAGAUCGGGAGGAAUACCAGUGGCGAAGGCGGCCUUCUGGACUGACACUGACGCUGGGGUGCGAAAGCGUGGGUAGCAAACAGGAUUAGAUACCCCGGUAGUC
rnacentral:rRNA from 1 species